rnacentral:rRNA from 1 species
UACGUAGGGAGCAAGCGUUGUCCGGAAUCAUUGGGCGUAAAGCGCGCGUAGGUGGCUUCGUAAGUCCGUUGUGAAAGUCAAAGGCUCAACCUUUGAAAGCCGAUGGAUACUGCGGAGCUAGAGUACGGAAGAGGCGAGUGGAAUUCCUGGUGUAGCGGUGGAAUGCGCAGAUAUCAGGAAGAACACCCGUGGCGAAGGCGGCUCUCUGGUACGUGACUGACGCUGAGACGCGAAAGCGUGGGGAGCGAACAGG